rnacentral:rRNA from 1 species
GACAGAGGGUGCAAACGUUGUUCGGAAUUACUGGGCGUAAAGCGUGUGUAGGCGGCUAUGUGAGUCGGAUGUGAAAGCCCCGGGCUCAACCCGGGAAGUGCACUCGAUACUGCGUAGCUUGAGUCUCGGAGAGGUUGGUGGAAUUCUCGGUGUAGAGGUGAAAUUCGUAGAUAUCGAGAGGAACACCGGUGGCGAAGGCGGCCAACUGGACGAAGACUGACGCUGAGACACGAAAGCGUGGGGAGCAAACAGG